AGGCAAGCCCUUGGCUCUCACAGUGUUAUAUGCUUGUUCAAGAAAGCCUUAAUACAAAUACUUACAGAGUGGAGUGAAAGGUGUUAUGUCAUCAUAUUAUAAAGUUUAAGAGACUCCGACAUGUUCCCCCAGCAUCAGAGUUUCAGGCUCAAAUAAGAUAUGAGCAAUUAAAUCCUCAGAUAUCAUGUGAUUGAAUUAUUUGUUUAUUAAUUUAAUUCAAAGUCUAAGCAGUAUGCAAUAAUUAAAAUAUAAGAAACAGCAAUAUAAUAUUAAUACAGUAAAAUGAUAAGUAAUAUCUGCCCAUUCAUGCACUGUUCAAUCACCAAAAGCUUCUUGGGAAAAUGAUGUCUUAAGAAGCCUCUGGGAAACCAUGAGAUUAGGAACAAACCAUUUCAGAAGAUCACCCACCAAGUAUAUUUGCCUCCAGACCCCCUUCUAUUAUUCCUCUUGAUAAGUAUAAACCAAUCACACCAUGCUGUAGGUCCGUGAUGGCGAACCUAUGGCACGUGUGCCCAAAGUGGCACGCAAAGUCAUGUUGCCUGGCACACAUGGCCUUUCCUGUUUGUCUUUUGGGUUUCUGAUGCGCAUGUGUGCAUGACAAUCAGUUGUCCCUCAUGCACGCAACAAUACCAAAAACUGGUGUGCACAUGCGCACCGGCCAGCUAAUUGUCGGGUGCGCAUGCGUGCCACAACCCAGAAGUUUGGCUUUUCUGGAGCAUGAUCCCUUCGUGAGCAACAGUGCUGAAAACCGGCCUGCACAUGCAUGCCGGCCAGCUGAUCGUCGGGCGCACAUGUGCACUAAAACCCAGAAGUUUGGCUUUUCUGAAGCGUGGCCCCAACAAGCGCAUGUUUCCGUAUGACCUUUUCGGCACUCACAGUGUCAAAAAGGUUCACCAUCACUGCUGUAGGUAUUCUCUGAUUGCCUAGAAUGUAUGUGCGGUAUCCAGUCUGGAAUAGAUGAUUUUAUGGAUAGACCAGGCCCUGAGACCUAUAUGGUGAUAAGAAUCUUCUGAAUUUUCUUGGAAAUAUACUUGAAGCCACUACAGCUACUGUAAUAGCAGUGUCAUGUGGCAGUAUCACACCUGUCCAGUAACCAUAUGAGCUGCCAUAUUUUGCAAUUGCCUAAAGUUUCUAGAUAGAGUUGAAGAGUUAUCCCAUCUAGAGCAAAUUCCACUAAACCAGGCAAGAAGUGAAGUGACAAGCCCAGCAUCAAGCAUCCUAUUCUAGGAAAUUCACACACACACAUACACACAAAUAAACCGUGGCUUAAAACAAUUGUAUUUGAAAAUAAAGAUGUGAACUGAAUCAAAAACUAAACAAACUGUGUUAUAAAUUAAUACAAUGUAUGAUACCAAUGCUAUCAUGGUGCAAAUUUGUUUCUUCAUUUGUGAUGUGAAUUUCCUUUACUUUUUCCCACAGGCUGGAUGCUGCUUUGUUUGUACUGAAGUAAUUUAAAUUCCUAAGUUCUAUAAUAGGUAUGUGGCUUAGUUUCUGUCAUCAUUAUCUUUAAACUAAGCCCUGAUUCACAACAGUGUUUAUUACAUUAUUCUGUAACAAGAGAUAAAGCAACAGUUGGCCCUCUCUCCUGCAAUAGUAUCACGAAGUAUAAAACAUCCUCUUUUGCUUCAAAUGGCCUAGUGAAUUUUUUAAUCUUUGAUAUAAAUCCUUCAGGGAUGAGAUUUCAAAGGACAAAACACACCUGGUGGCAUUCAUGACAAACACAUAAGAAGGAAGGCAGUUCUAUUCAUUUAUAAAUGAAGGAAUACAUUAUGAGGAAAGACUAUACUUACCUGCUAGAAGGACAAGCUUUCUCCCAAAUAAUUGGAAGCGCAUGGAGCUUUUGACAUUGGCUGAUAAGAAGACAAAGGAAUGAAGAUGUACACGUGGCUGAAAACUUCACUGCAGCAAACCAGGAAUGCUUUCAAGAUCAGCUUAAAGGAUGGUCAUUGCUUGUGCAGGGCUGCUUUCCUACUGAAUGUAACCUUUCUUCUAAUGCCUAAGCAGAACUCUUCUUUCUUAACCUGAUCCUUUCUUCUUUCCCUCUCCUUUUUCUAGAGCACUCACCUCAUUCCCCAUCACCCCAUUUCUGGGUGUGAGAUUGACUGGAGAAUGCUAACUGUAUAAGAUGAAUUAAUUUUGUAAAUCCUAUAUAUUAUUCUAUGGACACUUGCAUUAAUAGUUAUUUGCAAAAUAUCGCAAAUUUAUGCUUACUCUGCACAUGUGUUUGUGAUUUUUGGCAACAAUAUAUGUAUUCAUUAUCAUGUGUAGGUCUGCUGUUACAUAUAAGUGAGCAUGACAGAAAUCUUCACAUAUAUAUUUCUCUGCCUACUCAUCCUUUUUUGGAAAGAUUGCAUCAGGAUCAGUUCCAGUAAACUUAUAUCAUCCUAUAGGAAGGGUAAAAGUGCAAAUGUUGUUAAACCCUCCUCCCCCCAAAGAAAAAACAA